rnacentral:rRNA from 1 species
GACGGAAGGUGCAAGCGUUGCUCGGAAUCACUGGGCGUAAAGGGUGCGUAGGCGGCUUGGUAGGUCUGGUGUGAAAGCCCCGGGCUCAGCCCGGGAAGGGCACUAGAAACUGCCAAGCUAGAGUGCCGGAGGGGAGAGUGGAAUUCCUGGCGUAGCGGUGAAAUGCGUAGAGAUCAGGAGGAAUACCGGUGGCGAAAGCGACUCUCUGGACGGCAACUGACGCUGAGGCACGAAAGCGUGGGGAGCAAACAGG